rnacentral:rRNA from 1 species
GACGAACGCUGGCGGCGUGCUUAACACAUGCAAGUCGAACGGAAAGGCCCUGCUUGCAGGGUACUCGAGUGGCGAACGGGUGAGUAACACGUGGGUGAUCUGCCCUGCACUUCGGGAUAAGCCUGGGAAACUGGGUCUAAUACCGGAUAGGAGCCAUUUUUAGUGUGAUGGUUGGAAAGUUUUUUCGGUGUAGGAUGAGCUCGCGGCCUAUCAGCUUGUUGGUGGGGUAAUGGCCUACCAAGGCGGCGACGGGUAGCCGGCCUGAGAGGGUGGACUGCCACAUUGGGACUGAGAUACGGCCCAGACUCCUACGGGAGGCAGCAGUGGGGAAUAUUGCACAAUGGGCGCAAGCCUGAUGCAGCGACGCCGCGUGGGGGAUGACGGCCUUCGGGUUGUAAACUCCUUUCGCUAGGGACGAAGCUUUUUGUGACGGUACCUAGAUAAGAAGCACCGGCUAACUACGUG